rnacentral:rRNA from 1 species
AAGUCGAACGGAAAGGCCUUUUCGGAGGUACUCGAGUGGCGAACGGGUGAGUAACACGUGGGUGAUCUGCCCUGCACUCUGGGAUAAGCCUGGGAAACUGGGUCUAAUACCGGAUAGGACCGCACUUUAGUGUGUGUGGUGGAAAGUUUUUUCGGUGUAGGAUGAGCCCGCGGCCUAUCAGCUUGUUGGUGGGGUAAUGGCCUACCAAGGCGGCGACGGGUAGCCGGACUGAGGGGUUGGUCGGCCACAUUGGGACUGAGAUACGGCCCAGACUCCUACGGGAGGCAGCAGUGGGGAAUAUUGCACAAUGGGCGCAAGCCUGAUGCAGCGACGCCGCGUGGGGGAUGACGGCCUUCGGGUUGUAAACUCCUUUCGCCAGGGACGAAGCGUUUUGUGACGGUACCUGGAGAAGAAGCACCGGCUAACUACGUGCCAGCAGCCGCGGUAAUACGUAGGGUGCAAGCGUUGUCCGGAAUUACUGGGCGUAAAGAGCUCGUAGGUGGUUUGUCACGUCGUCUGUGAAAUUCCACAGCUUAACUGUGGGCGUGCAGGCGAUACGGGCUGACUUGAGUACUGUAGGGGUAACUGGAAUUCCUGGUGUAGCGGUGAAAUGCGCAGAUAUCAGGAGGAACACCGAUGGCGAAGGCAGGUUACUGGGCAGUUACUGACGCUGAGGAGCGAAAGCAUGGGU